rnacentral:lncRNA from 1 species
AAAUCGGUUGCCCCAACACAGAGCCCUAGCCCAUUAUCUUCAUAUAGCAAUAUUUUAUUAUGCAAGUUUGACAUAUAGUAGAUAUUGAAUUACGCUUUUAUAUUAGGACCCCCUUAGUAACAUAUAUAGAAAGUAUGGAUUAAUCUUUAUUUCUUCUAUAAUUUAACCUGGACUUUGAAUAACUUAGGGGGAGAAAAUAUAUUUGAUAUUAUUCACAUCAACAAUUAUACGGAUUAUCUGGACUAAAAUAAGUUCCAUAAUAGCAUUUAAUGUUAUGCUUUCAACGAUAACUAGGGGCAAGAUCUCUCUCUCUCUUUGUGUCCCCCUCCCUCACUUGCUUUUGCAGGAAUUCGCAGCAUAUUUAUAUUCUCCAUAGAAGGUAAAAUGCCUAUACAAAAUAGAUUCGACUGAGAACAAAACAGGCAUGACUAGUUUUUAACAUGUUUCAAC